GCACUUUCCCAUAAAUAACAGUUUUUAUUGACUCAACGGAAUUUUAAUGAAACCACGAGAUAGCGAAGGCAAAAAAUUUUUUUUAUGUUGUUAUUGGAUAAUACUGGAAUGUAGAGCAUCCUUCGUAAGUUGUACGCAAAAGGUGGGCAAUUAACCGAGCGCCUCAGUGAUAAGAGCAUUCGGGUCGUGAAAAAUUGUGCAUAAACCGGCUACCUCCCUGUCGACUGUCGGCUAUUGUGACGUAAUAACUGGAGUGGAAAGACCCGUCAAUUAAUCAAAAGGAUGAGCUGGCCCUUCGGCGAAGGUCGUAUCAUUACCGCGAUUUUUUAUUAAUUUUCGGCGGAGUCUUAAUCUUAAUUGGAAGCUAGUGAUUGCGUGAGUGUGGUGAUUGCGGUGAAACAGGCGGUUCGGGAUUGUCACGGAAUUUAUCACUGCGGUGAUUAUUUAAUAUCUAGUGAAACAAUUGGCCGAUUGUCCAGCGAAUUUAUGGAUCGGAUUUGCGUAAUUUGCGAUAAGAAAUUCUUUUCCAGAAUUUUUUAUAGUAAACAAGGAGAAGAAAUCGGAAACGUUCAGCGAAUUCUCAGAAUUUUUUGUUUCGAAAGAAAAGUUCUCGGGAACCUCCGACCCUCCGCCAAAAUCUCGCGAUGUAAAAUCCAAUUCUUCCAUUCGAAGAAUCGAGUUAACAAAGGAGAGAAGGUAAAACUGUUCAACAGAGCGUUUCCAACUACUUCACAACUUUCGAACGGUCACAAACUCGAUUGCAUCGACUAGACUUGGGCCAGUGCAACGACAAAAGCCCUAGUGAGCCAUGAAUCCCACCGGAGCAUCCUUUCAACCCAAUUAAUCCGCUGACCAACCAUAUCAAAUUCAAUUAAAAAUUGUAACUUGUCGGGGACAAAAGCAGUGUAACACCUAAAAUAUAUCACAUAAUAGAAAAAAAUAUUCAAUGAUUUUUUACUGAUGAAUCGGAAAAUCCAAGAAGACGUUCAAAUAAAAAUGAAAUUUAAUCUGUCAUAAGUAUCUUCAGUUCAUGCGGUUUGAAUUGAAUUUAAUGCGACCCUUUGUCAAAUUACAACUGAAUUGUUCCCACAAUUUAGCCUUUGUUAUUGCCAAUCAUUCACCAACAACAUUGAAUUGAGGAAAUAGUUCGUGAGUUCAUGGCAAAGACAGAGAUUUCCGGAUGCGAUAACUCUGCUAUUUUCAGAUAAUGUGACGCACUUUACGUGCACUUUGAGGGAAAUUCUGAAGUGGAACGAGAAUGGCAAAGGGCAGACCUAUGUGAUCUUACACUGUCACCGCUCUCAGCAACUGCGGCGGGGGCUCCAUCGGAGGUGGAUAAGCCUUCUUCUUGUGCCUCAACCUCCUGUCAGUCCUGUCCUGUCGCGUCCUCAGCACGAGCAUCACAUUCCUCUCCAGAUCCAACAUGAUGCACUAUUCACUCUCCUUUUUUCUCGGCUGUCGCCGGAGACUUUUACUGUCAAUCGGUGUACCGUUAAAAAAAUACUAGCCACCGAUUUGCGACGCAGAUGAAUUCAUGGUGACAGAUCAAGAAGCCAGAGUGGACCCAAGAGGGCAAAGUAUCCGCAUUUAUUGGUCCAGCGUUAUCGUCGUCACUUUGUUAUCAUUGCCGAUGCUCGCGUGGCCCUCGUAAUAAUGUGACCACACGGCCGACAUUUGCUUUCCGGAUUUAUUGGCGCUACGGCGGGAACAUCUGAUCGUUCGUCCUGAUCAAUCGACACCAAUCGACGAGUAAUUGCAGGUGAACAAGACCAUGAGAUACCAUUUGCAUCACCAUGACGAGUCCCCAAGAGCGCUUUGACGAUCGGAGUAAUUGAUUCCCUUUCACGGAGACAAUAGAAACUCGAUCACUGUCACUGACAAUGAUACGAACCAACUGAUGUCACGUAUGUCAAUAUUCAUAUGUAGGUGCACUCAGGCAACAGGUGGCCGACAAGCCGGGGUGAACUGAUCCCCGGACACUUGAGAUUUGCCGAGCACAUAUAUUUUGUCAUCGAGAUCAUAUCAUUACGAUCGUGCAGCUAUUAAUAUUCUCCGGGAACGAAAAGAGAGCUCGAGGUGUUACUCGAAGUUUCGAUUUGGAAGACGAGUGAAACUGUCGAGCGAUAUCCGGUGGGAACUAUUAUAGAACCGAGAAAGAGAGGAUUCCUGAAAGGUCUCGUGACAAUCGUUGAUCCGGAAAAAUAUGUUUUCUUGAUUGAUUCGUAUCGC